ACGAAUUAAUUGGCUUCUAAAUUUUUCCCCCAAUUUAAAUCACCACUAAUUAAAACAAUCGCGAGCGUCGUUUGAAUCUCACUAAAAAUAUCGACGAAUAAGAGGUAUUAGUCCAAAUUUCUUUAUUCAUUGUCUAACGUGUACUCGAUAAAAUAUAGGAAACAUACGGAAAAUCCCAAUUUAGAUGAAACGUUGCCAAUUCUUAUCGCACGAUUUUCAAGUCCACGAAAUUCACACAUUAAGAACAGAGAAGAUAAUAUCGUGCCACUUUAUCAUCGAGGACACGUAACCGAAAAAAGAGGGAAAAAAGAGGGAAAAAAUCGGAAGAUCUAACGGGUAUCCGACUUAAUUACAAGCCAGCAUAUGGACCGGACCCCAAGUUGGUUCCCUUUCCUCUCGCGGUAUGAAUAUCGCAUUAAGUCAUGAGUGAGAGAUAGCUCCGGGCAGGGGUGGGCCCCCGAUGGGAAACUACGAAUUUAAUAGAAUAAUAAAUGGAGCCGUCUGCGUUGCGGCGAUGCCGAUGGCGACGACCACGAGACCUCGUGGUACGCGUACGUACACACCAGGAAGAUAAUUCGGUUCCUUUUUCCUCCGAGCGGCUCGAUUCCCUUCGAUCUCACUCGUGCAACGCUUCUUCUUCGAUGUCGAAAAACAUCACGCUGACAGAUACCACGCCGAGGUAUCGUUAAAUUGCUGUAAUCGGGAUAUAAUGUAGCAGAAAUAUCGUAGGAAGUUGACCGGCCCGGUAAACUUUUAUAACAGUGAUUACGGUAAUAGUCGACAUUACGCGGCGCGAUUCUUUUAAGAAACAAACCGCGCGCUUUAUAUGCGCGAUUAUAAUAGCGCGUGUAUAAAAGAAGUUGCCGAGUAACGUUUCGAACGCUUACGAGUUUGCCCUGGCUCUUUCAUCUCGACGAAAUUUCACCCCGUUAUUGCAGAUUUCUCAGUCGAAGUUUGCGUUAUAGAAUAAACAGAGUUGCCCGAAGCCAUGUUCCAACUUGCGCGAACAAUUUGUUGAAAAUUAACUUUCCAGAGGCUGAUAAAUUAUAUAUCAUUGGUUAUUAUAAAUUCGCACAGUGUACAAUAGCGGUGGAAAUUAUCUAACAACUAGAUCAUUUUCAAAUUUUACUAAUAUAAUCACGGCACGGAACGGUGUUUCAUUAUAGCGAAAAUAAAAUCUCAAAAUGUUCUAUGUAACACUGGCGCAAUAUCCACGAGAAUCUUCUACGGUAACUGUACAAAUAUUUCGCGAAUCACUGUAGCUUUGCAUCUUACGAUAUAUUUACAAAACACCGAGCAUGAUGGAAUAAUCGCAAGAGACACGCGUGCCGUUCGAGUAAAACACCACGCCAGAGUGUCAUCUUGGUCCCAGGGGAUUGAACAAGAUGUCCACUGUUAAUUACACGCACGGCACGCUUUACACGCGGAAGCGGAAGCAACGGAGCCAUCGGUUAAAGUGGGGGAGUCCCGGACAAAUAUACAUGCAUGUAUUCCCGAAAAAGCGUGGACAAGAGCAGCCGCGGGUCGUUCGAUCUGUCGCGUUACACGCCGUUGCAAUUUUCAGCACACGAACGAAAGAGACGAUGGGUCGGCCGGGGCUCGUGUUAGCACAGUUUACAAAAUAAACACUGGUGCUUGUAGCAGAUCGGAAAGGGCGACCGAUGAUGGUCAGGACGAGGCGAGGAGGAUGGAGGCAGCGUCCGUUCUGCACUGAUAACACAAUUAGCUUGUCUCGUCAUGCGCGACCUCUGAUAAGGGAUUCCCUCGCUCUUGUCCUCUCUCUAACAUCGCUCACCCUCCGCUUCCAUCGCCCAUCCUCCGUCCUACUCUCUCCGUUCCCCUUUCUAGUAUUCGCACAUUGUUUCUCUUCGUCGUACCAGGCUUGCAUACCCCCCCUAUCCCUCUAGCCCACUUUAGUCGCUCAGCGAGCAGGAUCGCGCUCGUCAGUCGAGUAAAUCCAGACGAGAAGAUCCCUUGGGAGUACACGGCGUUUCAGGGACGCGCGAUAAGGGCAGCGGGGGUACAGCUUAACCCUCUCCGGGAUGCGAGAAGGGACACAACACGCGGGGUGAGCCGACCCCAACGUUAAUACCUUCCGGCAGGUUUUCUUCACUUGAUUUAUUCCGCAGGGGCUGAAAUCGCGUGGCAUGGCACGCACGUGCGUGCACACGCGCUGCCGUGCCGGUUUUCGCACGGACAAGCCGAUCUGUGUGGGUGCACCGAGGGGCAGCCCGGACCUGCAGCCAUCGAACCAACUGGAUAUAUACUUUAACGAAGUCCGCCAAAUGUCCGGAUCGUGUCCUGGCGAACAAAUUUGUCGAGACACGAGGGAUGAUUCCACCACCGAUGAUGAAGAGCCAAUGAAUGAAGAGGGAGGGAAUAGGUUGGAUCUCGCAAUUUUUUAAGCAGGCUACUAUAAACGAACGACGAAGACAUCUUUGUUUUGAAACUCGGUUUAUUAGCGUCGAAGGACGAUCGAGUCAUUGUGGAAGCGGUAGGAGGACGAAGGAAGGAAGCACAGUGUGACGAUGCCUACGAUUGAAAAGAAGAGGCCACCGGGAAGCGGUAGCCAUAGACCUCGGCGCAGUGGAGCAUAGGGGGUGGCAGCGGUGCGGUAAUAGCAUAAAUCCGCGGUUGUAGUCGGCUCUCUCGAUGCCGCCAGGGCGGGGGAAGGGACAGGCCAGGAGCAGCCGACUGUCGGAAGAAACGACAGUCGCCACUCGACGCCUGCAUCGAACAGAAGGCAGCCUGUGCGCAGACGCAAGCCGCAUUUUUCGAGAGUGCAUCCGUUCCCCGGGACGAGAAUCGAAACUGGUUUCGAACGUGGAUCAUGAUCCCGGUGAAAUCGAUCGCGACGCAAUGAAAACCCAACGAACCGUUUUUCGCGUUACCUUUUCUCCGUCCUUUUAAACGAAAGCCAAAGAUACGACGCGACGAAGUUGUUUGGUGCUGUGACAGUGUUGAUUCCUUUUCGUGAGGAACGGAACGACAGCCGAAGAGGACUCGAGCUGAAUAAGACGCUCUUCUUAUCGGAUAACGUCCAGGGACCCGGUUCAACAAGCAGCGAUUCGAA